CCUACGGGGGACAGCAGUGGGGAAUUUUGCGCAAUGCUCGUAAGAGUGACGCAGCGACGCCGCGUGAAUGACGAAGGCCUUCGGGUCGUAAAGUUCUUUCGACAGGGAAGAAAAUGCCUAUAAGUAACUGUGUAUGUAUUGACGGUACCUGUAUAAGCAGCCCCGGCUAACUCCGUGCCAGCAGCCGCGGUAAUACGGAGGGUGCGAGCGUUGUUCGGAGUGACUGGGCGUAAAGAGCACGUAGGCGGUGUUGUAAGUCAUUAGUCAAAGACUAGAGCUCAACUUUAGUAAGGCUAGUGAUACUAUAAUACGAGAGUAUCAGAGAGGAUUGCAGAAUUCCUGGUGUAGCGGUGAAAUGCGUAGAUAUCAGGAGGAAUACCGUUAGCGAAGGCGGCAAUCUGGCUGGAAACUGACGCUGAGGUGCGAAAGCGUGGGUAGCAAACAGGAUUAGAUACCCCUGUAGUC
rnacentral:rRNA from 1 species